rnacentral:lncRNA from 1 species
CUCCUUUUCAAUUGUUUGGAAUAGUUUCAGAAGAAAUGAAUUUGAUGAUGAUGUAUCUUGGGGAUGCCCUCUCUCACCACUCCUUUCAACAUAGUGGAAGUUCUGGCCAGCACAAUCAGGCUGGACAACAUGAAAAUGUCUGAUAAUACCAAGUAUUGCCAGAGUGUGGACCAAGAAAAACUCUUACAAAUACUAAUAAAACUGUAAACCAUGUGAAAAACAAUUUAAUAUUGACUGUAUCAUACCCUGAAACAGAAAUCCACUCCUAGGUGAUACAUUAACUAGAAAAAUUUUUAUGCACAUUCAUAAAGAGAUAUAAACAAACAUGUUCCCAACAGUAUUACUUAUAAUAGUAAAAACUGUCAUCAGAAUGUGAAUGUGGUGAGUUUAUACAAUUAACUAUUAUGCAGCAUCAAAAAUCAGUCAACCAGAGUGACACAUAUGAAUAUGAAUCAUUAUUAUUUACAUAAUGUUGAUAUUUUAAAAAUCAAAAGCAAUUUGCAAAAGAAUGCAUACUGUAUUAUAUCAUUUAUAUAAGGGUUACCUAUGCUAAGCGAUACAAAAAUAUUGUUAGUACUCAAAGUGCACAAAAUGUAUGAAUGUAUAAAUGUACAAAUAAAUACAAAAUUUAGAAAUGAGGUUAUCUUUUGUGUGUGGGGGAAUGGGGUGGACAGAGAGAGGAAUGGGAGAGGAGGCUUCAGUCAUAUCCAUAAUGCUUUCUUAAUGGGCAUAAUGGGUAUAUCAGUGGUCACUGUAUUUUUUCAUCUUAGGCAAAUUAAUGUUUACAAAAUAAUUAUUCAAAUGAAUUAAAAUCCACAAUAAAGAAG